rnacentral:rRNA from 1 species
GAUGAACGCUGGCGGCGUGCCUAAUACAUGCAAGUCGAGCGAACGGACGAGAAGCUUGCUUCUCUGACGUUAGCGGCGGACGGGUGAGUAACACGUGGAUAACCUACCUAUAAGACUGGGAUAACUUCGGGAAACCGGAGCUAAUCCCGGAUGAUAUUUUGAACCGCAUGGUUCAAAAGUAAAAGACGGUCUUGCUGUCACUUAUAGAUGGAUCCCCGCUGCAUUAGCUAGUUGGUAAGGUAACGGCUUACCACGGCAACGAGGCAUAGCCGACCUGAGAGGGUGAUAGGCCACACUGGAACGGAGACACGGUCAAGGGUCCUACGGGAGGCAGCAGUCGGGAAUCUUCCGCAAAGGGCGAAAGCCUGACGGAGCAACGCCGCGUGAGUGGUGAAGGUCUUCGGAUCGUAAAACUCUGUUAUUAGGGGAGAACAUAUGUGUAAGGAGCUGUGCACAUAUUGACGGUACCUAAUCAGAAAGCCACGGCUAACUACGUG